UUCUCUCUUCUUCCUUAUCUAUAUUGUUGGAGGAGAAUCAAGAAUGAGUUGGUCUCUCUGCAGCACCCAUUCCCAUGGGGUCUCCUCUUCCAUUGCUCUCACUUAUGGGUUUCGCCAUAGGAGAUCUACUUUCCGGAUUUGCGCCACUUCUGACCCCAAAGACGAACCGGAAUCUCCUCUCCCUUCCUCAUCCUCUUCCCCCUCUGCUCUCGGUAAAGACUUGAAAAAGGUAGUUAACAAGACUGCAGCAACCUUUGCCCCUAGAGCUUCCACCGCCAGUAAAAACCCAGCUCUCCCUGGAACUACUCUUUACAAAGUUUUUGAGGUUCAAGGCUAUGCCUCAAUGUUGCUCGGAGGUGUCCUUUCUUUCAACCUCCUCUUUCCCUCCAAUGAACCUGAUUUAUGGAGGUUGAUGGGGAUGUGGUCCAUUUGGAUGUUCACUAUUCCUUCUCUUCGAGCACGAGACUGUCCACUUAAAGAGAAAGAGGCUCUUAACUACCUAUUUAUGAUCAUCCCGUUGCUCAAUGUUGCUAUUCCCUUCUUUUGGAAGUCAUUUGCUCUUGUCUGGUCUGCUGACACUGUUACCUUCUUUGCAAUGUAUGCCUGGAAGCUUGGAUGGCUGGAAAGCACAGAGUAGGGACUACUCUUGAAUCAUGAAGAUUCUUUGUCUUCUCUUCCUUAGAACGAUUCUUCAUUCGGCUUCUCUAUGGAAUGAAGCCUAUCGUGUUAGUAGGGGGCCCAGACGUCUCUGAGGCGGUGAUGGUUUCCCUGCUUCAGGCUGAGUGACUUGUUGCUUAGGGCUCGGCUCACCCAGGAUGCUCUUUUCCACCUUCUCCUGUAACCUCUUAUUUGGGCCGUUACUACCAUUAGCUAGUGUUAUCAUUGUCUCUCUCUCUGAUUCUUGGCUUGACGAGCCAGGGGAAUUGUUCUUGCAUUUGUCGUCAUCCUCAGAGUCUUCUAAUUGCUUGAAAUGAAUAGUGAUGUCAGACAUUGAUCCCUUCUUGAUUAGUUUGUUCCUCU